GUAGUCUCGCACAGAUGCAUAUCAAUAAGCGGAGGAAAAGAAACUAACAAGGAUUCCCCUAGUAACGGCGAGUGUAGCGGGAAGAGCUCAAAUUUGAAAUCUUAAAGGGUUUCCCUUUACGAAUUGUAGUUUAAAGAAGUGUUUUCUGUUGAGGUUUUGGUAAAAGUUCUUUGGAAUAGGACAUCAUAGAGGGUGAGAAUCCCGUAUUUGACCUUUACUUUCAACUUUGUGAUACACUUUCAAAGAGUCGGAUUGUUUGGGAAUGCAGUCCAAAAUGGGUGGUAAACUUUCAUCUAAAGCUAAAUAUUGGCGAGAGACCGAUAGCGAACAAGUACCGUGAGGGAAAGAUGAAAAGAACUUUGAAAAGAGAGUUAAACAGUACGUGAAAUUGUCAAAAGGGAAGCGUUUGACACCAGUGUUGUUUUUCUGAAAAUCAAUUAAAGAACUGUUUAUGCUAAGCUUGUUUAGACUUUAUCAGCUAACUGUUUAGUUUUGAGCUUUUCUUUAAUGCACUUUUCAGUUAACAAGUCAACAUCAAUUUCUUUUGCUGUAAAAAAGCUUGAGGAAGGUGGCUUGAGAUUCGUCUUAAGUGUUUAUAGCCUCUUGCCUAUGCAGUCGGAGAGAUUGAGGUCUGCAGCGUAGAUCCUUCGGGGCUAAAUGCAUUUGUGCUAAGUUAUAGCAUUUUAUAGACAACUUGUUGACUAUGAUUUGUCUUGUAGCUUACUCGCUUAUGUUAUUUUACCUACGCUUAGGAUGUUGAACUACUGAGACAUAGA
rnacentral:rRNA from 1 species